GGCUCCGCGAGGCCUUCCCGACCCCCCGCGGCCCCGCGGUCCCCGGGCCCCCUCCCGGGGCGGCGCGGCCCAGCGCGGGGCGGCGGGGCCGGGGGUGCUGGCGGCCGGCGGGGGCCCCCGCGUUGCUGCGGCUGCGCCGGGGCUGGAGGAGCUGGAGAUUGCGCGGAUACCAUCUGUGCCUGGUAGAAACCUCUUCUAUGGAAUAAAGCUGUAAAUGGCCUCCAAGGGCAGGCAUUUAUGACCACACUGCAUCCAUCAGAAGAUGGAAGAAUAUGGGAAGUGUGGUAAGAAGAACUGCAGAGCCAGCCGAGUCAAUUGGCAUGCGUGUCAGUCACGUCAGAAGCUUUAAACCAACGAUGCCUCUCUUUAUCAAGCUCUCUUAUGAAGCAAGGACAGGAAACUACCAGAAUCCUCAAAAGCAAAUGACACAGAAAAGGAGUUUUCUCCAUAGUGCCAUUUACAACAAGAAGACGGUUUGAACUCCCGAAUUCACUGAAUGCCUCCAGAAAACCACCAGUAACUGGGUAACACACUAGGAUGCAACGAGAACACCCCAGCAUCUGGAAUGGAAAGCUUCAAUACCUGCAAGCGUCGUGAUACCCAGACAGCACAUCUGAGAGAGCAACCACUGUUCCUGUGUCAGUUCAGGACACAUCCUCUCUUGUCCUGCUGCAUCCUUCCAGUCGGUGUGCUGGAAGAAUCUGGGAGAGAUGCACAGACUCACUUGACAUACUGCUUCACCAAGGGCUGCCUUAAACUGACACGGAGGAAAUGGAGCGAAGCGACUCUGAUCUGUAACAUAAAUCUUGUGGUUUCCAGCCAGGAUGUUCGGACUAACAGUGAUUACUGUAAGAGGAGACUUGGUUGGGGGGCUCAUCGUCGCCUCUAACUUAAUACAGCAUCACUGCCAGCAUCUCAGCUAGAUCUCCAGGAUCUGACUACAGCCAAAAGAGAACUGGCAGUAUGUUCACUGGGGCUUCAAGUACCACUUAUCUGUCCAAAUGUAGAAUGAGGUGAAUCACCCAGAUACACAGACUGCAUUGCACAGCUCUUCUGACCCAGAAAGGGAGCACCAGGUGACUCUCAGAGCUGCUGUAGAAGUAUUUGACACUGAUGAUCUCAGUGUGGUAUCUGCUAUCUGAGCUCAAGUUUUCCCCAGCACUGGUUGAAAGAACUGGAGGCACACCCACACCGGGGAGCACAUUCCAUCUGCGUAAGAACAGCAGUGGUAUGGGUAAAAUAAACCCCACCACAGCUCCCUCAGACUGCUGAGACUUAAUGUUUUAUUCCGCACAGAACUAAGUUCUAAGUGCCACAGCUGAAAUUACGACAGCACUAGUGCAACUUGCCAUUCGUCACUGUAAGCUUGAGCUAUAAGAAGAGUGUCUUUGUGUGGACACUACAGUGAUUACGGCAAAAUAUUUGAGCUAACCACUGGAGAUAUUGUAUGAGUCUCAAGUUCAAAAAAGCCUCUUCUUAUCAGGGGGAGCUCGGCUUUCAUCGCGUCCUUUGCUUUCCAGCCAGCUACUUUCGUCUCUUCCCCUUCUUUUUGGGGGAGCCAGGCCAAGGAAAGCCCCGCAACUCCAGGCAGGCGGGGACAUUAUGGCAGAUGUAAUGGGCGUUGAGCAUGGCAGCUGGGCUGAGGAUAUCCACAUCCUUCACCACCUUCUUCGUUUUCUUUUUGGAGCUUUUUCCUUUGCCACGCUUGGGUUUGCUGCUUUUACCUGCCUGCAGAGAGAAAAUGACCAUGAAAACACCUAAUUAGCCCUUUAUCUGUAUUGUCUGCCUUCUGGGCUGAGGAUCCCAAGACAUCCUGGAACAGUUUCACGGCAUCACAGUCCGGGCUGUAUUAGAAUCAUAGAAUGGGACCAUCAGCUCAGAGCUCCUCACCACAGACAAAAUCUAUAUUUGCUCUGUAAGAAUCUUUAGAGACAUCAGACAAGACUGCUUAACGUUCUGCUGUGCCUCUGUCUGGCUAAAAUAGGUCGGUGCAUAAUGGAAAUCCCACGGUCUUUUCAAUUGAUUUUUUAAUUAAUGCAUUAUGAUACACUCCUAAAGUCAAUUGACCAUAUGCUGGGUUUUCAUCCGAUACCGUGUACCUUUUUUUUUGUCACUUCCCACCUCUGCCCACCUAUUUCUGUUAUUUGCCUGGUUUUGCACACCAUUAAUUAAACAGUUCUGUGCAAAUUAGAAAUAUUAAGGACAGGCGCAAAGGCCAUAUGUAACUAUCAGCUGGGAACAAACCAGCUGAAGGCAGCACGUGAAGCAUAUUUUUCCAUGGAAUGAGAGCACAGUCGGGAUGCAGCCUUCAGUCACCCAAGGGCACAACGUGGAGGUGUACAUACAGGGAUAAAAGAAAAACAAAAGGUCACGAGGUCCAUAUAAAGCACACAGAACCACUGCCCACAAGAGGAAAGAGAAGACAAACAGAAAACAGCGUGAGCUGCAGAUGAUGGCGGUAGUGUUUCCUAUUCAGUCAUUGCAGACUGCAGGCUUCAACACAGACAUGCAUCAGAGAGGGCCGUGAGCCUUUCACAGACCUUAACUGGCUUGAAUUUGUUGAAAACUGCAUGCCCUGGGAUGUGUUUGCUUCACAGAGUGGAUGCUUACAGCAGAUUAUGAGACAGCCUCCCAACUGCACUCCCUGUUUGUGUAAUCCCAGCGGGGCCACUGGCAGACUGUGUGAGCACCAUUACAUUCCUGGUCAGAAUUUGUUCCAUAGCUGAUCUUUCAGAAUAACAAAGAUGCUUACAGCUAAGGGCAAGCUGCUGUAGUGAGUCUGCAGUGAGAAACAGGGAAUGUUUUUGGUUUAGAGCUGACCCACUGCUCCUGCUGUCUCUCUGCAGCGAAUACCUCCGACCUCUGGGGCUUUGAAUGUCAGCAGUCGGUUUUUGUCAGCAACUCUCUUCUCUUCUCUUUUCUGUCUCUUAUUGAAUGUGACAUCACUAGGCUGCAGCCUGCAGUCUGCUCACGCAGUCCAGCACAGCCUGGAGCUUCUUCCCAGAAAACAAAUGCUUGUGGGAAGCCAACAAACUCCUCCAGCACAGCACCACAAAUACUGUCAGGAGUCACACCUCG
rnacentral:lncRNA from 1 species